AGGACCCGAUUGUCCUACAUCGAAAAAAUAGCAGCAGCUGAUCCUAUUUAAAAUGAAUCUAAUUGAAGACAUUAAGGAUUGGGCACCUUCUACAAACUACAGUAGUAUUACUCUUGAUGAGGUUUUGCAUCAUUGGAACAUCAGGCCUAUGUCAUUGCUUUACCUAAGGUAG